rnacentral:tRNA from 1 species
AGCUAUCUAGCUCAGUUGGUAGAGCAUGGUGUUUGCAACGCCAGGGUUGUGGGUUCGAUUCCCACGGGGGCCA